rnacentral:rRNA from 1 species
GUAGCGCGAGUGAAAGCGGCAAAAGCUCAAAUUUGGAAAUCUGGCUCUUUCAGAGUCCCGAGUUGUAAAUUUGAAAGAAAGGGUAUCUUGGGUCUGGCUCUUUGUCUAUGUUUCUUGGAACAGAACGUCACAGAGGGUGAGAAUCCCGUGCGAUGAGAUGAUCCAGGCCUAUGUAAAGUUCCUUCGAAGAGUCGAGUUGUUUGGGAAUGCAGCUCUAAGUGGGUGGUAAAUUCCAUCUAAAGCUAAAUAUUGGCGAGAGACCGAUAGCGAACAAGUACAGUGAUGGAAAGAUGAAAAGAACUUUGAAAAGAGAGUGAAAAAGUACGUGAAAUUGUUGAAAGGGAAGGGCUUGAGAUCAGACUUGGUAUUUUGUAUGUUACUUCUUCGGGGGUGGCCUCUACAGUUUAUCGGGCCAGCAUCAGUUUGGGCGGUAGGAGAAUUGCGUUGGAAUGUGGCACGGCUUCGGUUGUGUGUUAUAGCCUUCGUCGAUACUGCCAGCCUAGACUGAGGACUGCGGUUUAUACCUAGGAUGUUGGCAUAAUGAUCUUAAGUCGCCCGUCUUGAAACACGGACCAAGGAGUCUAACGUCUAUGCGAGUGUUUGGGUGUAAAACCCGUACGCGUAAUGAAAGUGAACGUAGGUGGGGGCCCGUAUGGGUGCACCAUCGACCGAUCCUGAUGUCUUCGGAUGGAUUUGAGUAAGAGCAUAGCUGUUGGGACCCGAAAGAUGGUGAACUAUGCCUGAAUAGGGUGAAGCCAGAGGAAACUCUGGUGGAGGCUCGUAGCGGUUCUGACGUGCAAAUCGAUCGUCGAAUUUGGGU